rnacentral:lncRNA from 1 species
CACCAUCAGUGGUAAUUCAGUACUAUGCUCUGCUCCGCUUUGCUCUGUUGUAUCACCGCUACUGCUGCUGCUACUCCACUUCCUUGACAGGCCGCCUGUCAACACCACCGCCACCCUGCUACCGGCGGCGACUAUUGGCAGCGUCCGAGACCCGCUGCACGAUCAUCACCUCCGCCGCAUCGACCGCCUCCCAUGUCCCACUGAUCACCACCUCCCUGCACCACACACACGCUGCAGGUCAAAAUGACAUACAACCAGGACUGAUUUCAUGGGUAAAGAACAUGCAAACCUGGCUGAGACCUGUUGUAGUACCUACCUCUCGCUCGUCCCAGCUUUGAGCUCCCCCUUAGAGAUACUAAUUUGCACGCCCGUAAC